rnacentral:rRNA from 1 species
GGGUUGUGAGGUUAAGCGACUAAGCGUACACGGUGGAUGCCCUGGCAGUCAGAGGCGAUGAAGGACGUGCUAAUCUGCGAAAAGCGUCGGUAAGGUGAUAUGAACCGUUAUAACCGGCGAUGUCCGAAUGGGGAAACCCAGUGUGAUUCGUCACACUAUCGUUAACUGAAUACAUAGGUUAACGAGGCGAACCGGGGGGAACUGAAACAUCUAAGUACCCCGAGGAAAAGAAAUCAACCGAGAUUCCCCCAGUAGCGGCGAGCGAACGGGGAGCAGCCCAGAGUCUGAAUCAGCUUGUGUGUUAGUGGAACGGUCUGGAAAGUCCGACGGUACAGGGUGAUAGUCCCGUACACCAAAAUGCACAGGUUGUGAACUCGAAGAGUAGGGCGGGACACGUGGUAUCCUGUCUGAAUAUGGGGGGACCAUCCUCCAAGGCUAAAUACUCCUGACUGACCGAUAGUGAACCAGUACCGUGAGGGAAAGGCGAAAAGAACCCCGGCGAGGGGAGUGAAAAAGAACCUGAAACCGUGUACGUACAAGCAGUGGGAGCACCUUCGGGUGUGACUGCGUACCUUUUGUAUAAUGGGUCAGCGACUUAUAUUCUGUAGCAAGGUUAACCGUAUAGGGGAGCCGCAGGGAAACCGAGUCUUAACUGGGCGUUAAGUUGCAGGGUAUAGACCCGAAACCCGGUGAUCUAGCCAUGGGCAGGUUGAAGGUUGGGUAACACUAACUGGAGGACCGAACCGACUAAUGUUGAAAAAUUAGCGGAUGACUUGUGGCUGGGGGUGAAAGGCCAAUCAAACCGGGAGAUAGCUGGUUCUCCCCGAAAGCUAUUUAGGUAGCGCCUCGUGAACUCAUCUUCGGGGGUAGAGCACUGUUUCGGCUAGGGGGGUCAUCCCGACUUACCAACCCGAUGCAAACUACGAAUACCGAAGAAUGUUAUCACGGGAGACACACGGCGGGUGCUAACGUCCGUCGUGAAGAGGGAAACAACCCAGACCGCCAGCUAAGGUCCCAAAGUCAUGGUUAAGUGGGAAACGAUGUGGGAAGGCACAGACAGCCGGAUGUUGGCUUAGAAGCAGCCAUCAUUUAAAGAAAGCGUAAUAGCUCACUGGUCGAGUCGGCCUGCGCGGAAGAUGUAACGGGGCUAAACCAUGCACCGAAGCUGCGGCAGCGACACUAUGUGUUGUUGGGUAGGGGAGCGUUCUGUAAGCCUGCGAAGGUGACCUGUGAGGGUUGCUGGAGGUAUCAGAAGUGCGAAUGCUGACAUAAGUAACGAUAAAGCGGGUGAAAAGCCCGCUCGCCGGAAGACCAAGGGUUCCUGUCCAACGUUAAUCGGGGCAGGGUGAGUCGACCCUAAGGCGAGGCCGAAAGGCGUAGUCGAUGGGAAACAGGUUAAUAUUCCUGUACUUGGUGUUACUGCGAAGGGGGGGAAGGCUAUGUUAGCCGGGCGACGGUUGUCCCGGUUUAAGCAUGUAGGCUGGUUAUCCGCAAAUCCGGAUAAUCAAGGCUGAGGUGUGAUGACGAGGCACUACGGUGCUGAAGUAACAAAUGCCCUGCUUCCAGGAAAAGCCUCUAAGCAUCAGGUAACAUCAAAUCGUACCCCAAACCGACACAGGUGGUCAGGUAGAGAAUACCAAGGCGCUUGAGAGAACUCGGGUGAAGGAACUAGGCAAAAUGGUGCCGUAACUUCGGGAGAAGGCACGCUGGUGUGUAGGUGAAGUCCCUGCGGAUGGAGCUGAGACCAGUCGAAGAUACCAGCUGGCUGCAACUGUUUAUUAAAAACACAGCACUGUGCAAACACGAAAGUGGACGUAUACGGUGUGACGCCUGCCCGGUGCCGGAAGGUUAAUUGAUGGGGUUAUCCGUAAGGAGAAGCUCUUGAUCGAAGCCCCGGUAAACGGCGGCCGUAACUAUAACGGUCCUAAGGUAGCGAAAUUCCUUGUCGGGUAAGUUCCGACCUGCACGAAUGGCGUAAUGAUGGCGGGCUGUCUCCACCCGAGACUCAGUGAAAUUGAACUCGCUGUGAAGAUGCAGUGUACCCGCGGCAAGACGGAAAGACCCCGUGAACCUUUACUAUAGCUUGACACUGAACAUUGAGCCUUGAUGUGUAGGAUAGGUGGGAGGCUUUGAAGCGUGGACGCCAGUCUGCGUGGAGCCAACCUUGAAAUACCACCCUUUAAUGUUUGAUGUUCUAACGUUGGCCCCUGACCGGGGUUGCGGACAGUGUCUGGUGGGUAGUUUGACUGGGGCGGUCUCCUCCCAAAGCGUAACGGAGGAGCACGAAGGUUAGCUAAUCCUGGUCGGACAUCAGGAGGUUAGUGCAAUGGCAUAAGCUAGCUUGACUGCGAGCGUGACGGCGCGAGCAGGUGCGAAAGCAGGUCAUAGUGAUCCGGUGGUUCUGAAUGGAAGGGCCAUCGCUCAACGGAUAAAAGGUACUCCGGGGAUAACAGGCUGAUACCGCCCAAGAGUUCAUAUCGACGGCGGUGUUUGGCACCUCGAUGUCGGCUCAUCACAUCCUGGGGCUGAAGUAGGUCCCAAGGGUAUGGCUGUUCGCCAUUUAAAGUGGUACGCGAGCUGGGUUUAGAACGUCGUGAGACAGUUCGGUCCCUAUCUGCCGUGGGCGCUGGAGAAUUGAGGGGGGCUGCUCCUAGUACGAGAGGACCGGAGUGGACGCAUCACUGGUGUUCGGGUUGUCAUGCCAAUGGCACUGCCCGGUAGCUAAAUGCGGAAGAGAUAAGUGCUGAAAGCAUCUAAGCACGAAACUUGCCCCGAGAUGAGUUCUCCCUGAGACUAUAAGUCUCCUGAAGGAACGUUGAAGACGACGACGUUGAUAGGCCGGGUGUGUAAGCGCAGCGAUGCGUUGAGCUAACCGGUACUAAUGAACCGUGAGGCUUAACCUUACAACGCCGAAG